GUUCGGUCCCUAUCCGCCGUGGGCGUAGGAAAUUUGAGAGGAGCUGUCCUUAGUACGAGAGGACCGGGAUGGACCAACCUCUGGUGCACCAGUUGUUCCGCCAGGAGCACAGCUGGGUAGCUAUGUUGGGAAGGGAUAAACGCUGAAAGCAUCUAAGCGUGAAGCCCACCUCAAGAUUAGAUUUCCCAUAGCGUAAGCUAGUAAGACCCCUGAAAGACUAUCAGGUUGAUAGGUUGGAGGUGUAAGUACAGUAAUGUAUUCAGCUGACCAAUACUAAUAGGUCGAGGGCUUGAUCAAAUA
rnacentral:rRNA from 1 species